AGCGUAGGUGGCCUAACAUGUCAACUGUGAAAACCCGGAGCUCAACUCCGGACUUGCGGUUGAAACUGGUAGGCUUGAGGACGGUAGAGGAAGACGGAACUGCCAGUGUAGGGGUAAAAUCCUUAGAUAUUGGCAGGAACGCCGGUGACGAAGGUGGUUUUCUGGGCCGGUUCUGACACUGAUGCUCGAAAGCCAGGGGGAGCGAACGG
rnacentral:rRNA from 1 species